rnacentral:rRNA from 1 species
GACGUAGGUGGCGAACGUUAUCCGGAAUCAUUGGGCGUAAAGGGUGCGUAGAUGGCAUGAUAAGUUAUUAGUGGGAAGUCGAGGCUCAACCUCGUGGAAGCUAGUAAUACUGUUUUGCUUGAGUACAGAAGAGGUUAACGGAACUCCAUGUGGAGCGGUAAAAUGCGUAGAUAUAUGGAAGAACACCAAUAACGGCGAAGGCAGUUAACUAUUCUGUUACUGACAUUGAGGCACGAAAGCGUGGGGAGCAAACGG